GUGCUUACUUCAGCAGCACAUGCUAAAAUUGGAAUGAUGCAGAGAUUAGCAUGGGUCCUGCACAAGAGAGACAUGCAAAUUCAAGAAGUGUUCCAUAUUUUU
rnacentral:snRNA from 1 species